CUGAAGCUCGAUCUUUCCUUCUCUCUAUGACGUUUGUAGUAGAACAAAACAAACUCCAAGCUGCCUGAACAAAGAAGCUCUUGAUCUUUCCUUCUCUCUAUGACGUUUGUAGUAGAACAAGACAAACUCCAAGCUGCCUGAACAAAGAAGCUCUCGAUCUUUCCUUCUCUCUAUGACGUUUGUAGUAGAACAAGACAAACUCCAAACUGCCUGAACAAAGAAGCUCUUUUUGAACUACCAUUCUAUAUUUGCCUGAUGACGAUACCAAGGUCAAAUAGAGAACGUUCGAAAAGAGCCUGUUGCAAUUUCUUAUUGUUUAUUUACCGAUUAAGGAAUUAUGUAAGUUAAAUUUGUUAGAAUACGGUAAUAUUGAAUUUUUCAUACUCAAAAUAGUCGUUUAAUUAAAUUUCACAUCAUUGCUUGUGGCGCAUUUUUGUUAGUUCCUCCAUGGCAGAUUUAUUGCUUUCGUUAAUAAAGAAUAUUAAGAUUCUAUAUACUUCCUCAAGGAAAGUAGAAAAUUCAAGGAAAGCUUGCCGACGAUACAUAAUAACACAAAUAAAAUAUUCAACUUAAUGGAUGAAGACAAAGUUAUGUAAAUUUAACACGAAGAAAUACUUUGAAGAAACAUGAAACAUGAAAUUGAACUUGUUGCACGUGUUGUAUGGACAUGUCGAUCAUAUUUAGAAUGUUCAUUCGUAGGCUGUAUUUUUAGAAUAACAUUCAAUUUAAAUUUAAAUGUAAAUGAAUGAAAUGUUUUUAGCCAAUUAAAUUAUGGCAUUCGCGAUUGUGUACACCUAAAUUUUAUUUCAUAAAUAGUAGGUGUGCGAGAUAAAAUUUGUCAUCAGUCGCAAGUUACAAUCUAAGCGAAACUUGGUUUAUACUAAUCUUAUGUGAGCAGCCUAGCUGCCUAUUCUAAUAAUAUAAUUGUAAACAUACAAAAACCAAGGAUAUAUAAUAUUUAAAAUGCAGAGGCUCUGGAAGACCCCAAGGUGUUGAAUCAUAAAUAUUGAGAGAAAUACGACACCAAAUUAAUAAAAAUAUUUCAAAAUGGCAAAUUCAAAACUGAGAGAACUUGGUUAUUUGAUGGGAUCUACGUUUACCUUUACUUCUUAUGUAUAUUCCAAGGAUUAAGAGGGUGGUUAUUUUAUGCAGAAAUGAAAAAUGCUAUAGCACUUGAUAGAACUACGUGAUCACAAAAAAAAACACGCAAUGGCAAGCAUGGAAAACUGUGAGGAUUACGGCGUGCACUUGUGUAAGAUGGACAUAUUUCU